rnacentral:rRNA from 1 species
UACGAAGGGGGCUAGCGUUGUUCGGAAUUACUGGGCGUAAAGCGCGCGCAGGCGGCUAUCCAAGUCAGUGGUGAAAGCCCGGAGCUCAACUCCGGAACUGCCAUUGAAACUGUUUAGCUUGAGUAUGAGAGAGGUGAGUGGAAUUCCCAGUGUAGAGGUGAAAUUCGUAGAUAUUCGCAAGAACACCAGUGGCGAAGGCGGCUCACUGGCCCGAUACUGACGCUGAGGCACGAAAGCGUGGGGAGCAAACAGG